rnacentral:misc_RNA from 1 species
UCUCCGUUGGUGAACCAGCGGAGGGAUCAUUGCUGGAAGCGUCUCACGGCGCACCCAGAUACCCUUUGUGAACCUAUACCUAUCUGUUGCCUCGGCGGGUGCUCGAGCUCAGCGCUCAGCCCGCCGGUGGCCCCCUACUCUGACUCACUGCGUUGGCAUCUCAGAGAAAACACAAACCAAUUAAAACUUUCAACAACGGAUCUCUUGGCUCUGGCAUCGAUGAAGAACGCAGC